rnacentral:rRNA from 1 species
AACCAACAGGGAUUGCCCUAGUAACGGCGAGUGAAGCGGCAACAGCUCAAAUUUGAAAUCUGGCUCUCUUGCGGGGUCCGAGUUGUAAUUUGUAGAGGGCGCUUUGGCACUGAUGGCGGUCUAAGUUCCUUGGAACAGGACAUCACAGAGGGUGAGAAUCCCGUACGUGGUCGCUAAUCUUUUGCUGUGUAAAGCCCCUUCAACGAGUCGAGUUGUUUGGGAAUGCAGCUCUAAAUGGGAGGUAAAUUUCUUCUAAAGCUAAAUAUUGGCCAGAGACCGAUAGCGCACAAGUAGAGUGAUCGAAAGAUGAAAAGCACUUUGGAAAGAGAGUCAAAAAGCACGUGAAAUUGUUGAAAGGGAAGCGCUUGCCGCCAGACUUGCCUGUAGUUGCUCACCUAGGCGUUAAGCCUGGGGCACUCUUCUGCAGGCAGGCCAGCAUCAGUUUGGGCAGCCGGAUAAAGGUCUCUGACACGUUCCAUCCUUCGUAGAUGGCCAUAUAGGGGAGACGUCAUGCGGUUAGCCUGGACUGAGGUCCGCGCAUUGCUAGGAUGCUGGCGUAAUGGCUGCAAGCGGCCCGUCUUGAAACACGGACCAAGGAGUCUAACAUCUAUGCGAGUGUUUGGGUGUCAAGCCCGAGCGCGCAAUAAACGUGAACGGAGGUGGGAACCCUCUUUGGAGGGGGUGCACUAUCGACCGAUCCUGAUGUCUUCGGAUGGAUUUGAGUAAGAGCAUAGCUGUUGGGACCCGAAAGAUGGUGAACUAUGCUUGAAUAGGGUGAAGCCAGAGGAAACUCUGGUGGAGGCUCGCAGCGGUUCUGACGUGCAAAUCGAUCGUCAAAUUUGGGCAUAGGGGCGAAAGACUAAUCGAACUAUCUAGUAGC